rnacentral:piRNA from 1 species
UUCUGUAAAAUGGAAAGAGGACUGG